UUGGAGCGUCAUAUUGAAUAAAAGCCGCUUCCAGAUUUAGAGGAGUACUGAUCAUUAAGUGAAGUGAGACAAAACCGACACAUGCUGUUUAAGAUUUAAGUUUCUUUCUUAAAGAGUUCUUCCAAGCUACAGGAGAUAUUUACAAGUUGCAUGAGUCAAAGAGGAUCAGAGACGAUCUGGAAUGAUUGAUCUACAUCAGCCUUCAUUUGGGGGCUCAGUUCUAUUCAUUACUUCAGCUUAAUAGACAGGAGAGGCCCCUAAUUACAAGGAAGACUGCAAAGGAAAACUGAACACUUGCCAAGACGUCGUGGCCAUCGAUUGCCUUUGGAUUCUAGUCCCGGGCUGCUGAAGGGAAAAUGCGGAUUCUUGGCUCCAGAUAUAUUCCUCAGCUCUGUGGCACUCUCUCUUUUGUAUAGAUGUUUUUGCAGCAGUUCCACUCAGAAAACAGCCCAGCAGUAAAAGAAGGGAUAACAAAGCAAGCCGAUGCUGCCGAAUAACUGAAAACAAGAUGGAUUUCUUCGAAAACUCUCAUGUCCUAGUUAGGUUUUCUGUACGCUCAACAUUAUUGUCAAACAAUGGGUAUUUGGGAUGGGAUAGUGGGAUGCAAUGGAAUGAUGCCACGAAUGAGCUCAGUGCUUUUGCUGACACAUCCAAUCACACCCACACACCACCCCACAGUCGCAAAGAAUGCAAUUCGCAGCUUCAGGGUCGCGCUGUGCAAACCAAACGCAACUGAGGUUGAGGGGACAUAUGUAGUGCCCCACUCAGAGCAGUUCUGGGCUGCAUCCAAUACUGUUGACAGUUCUUGAGCCUCCACCUAUAUGUAGCACAGCCAUACCAUUCCAGCAGCUUCAAGGGCCACUUCACACAUGACAUUUUUAGGAGUACCCUAAGCUAAAACCAUCUCAAAACAGGUACACUCAAAACAGGUACACUCAUCAGGAGGCUGAUGCUUGGCUGCUGUUGGAUUCAGAGGCCAGCUCAAAUUUACUUCUGCAUUUGUGUGAAAUGUGGUAGACAGAGGGAGUCCAUGAGUCUAAGGGAGAAAAACAAGCCUUUUCUCAUGAUCCAGUGAGAGGGCUUGAAGGUGGGCAGCGAGGAAGGCAGCAAAAGCUCACCUUGCCGCAGAUGAUCCUCAGGGAGUUGCUGGGCACACUAAUCAUACACCUAGAUGGUCUGGGGCUGCCACAGGCAGCGUGGAGGUGCAGGGAUCAGGACGCGCAGUAGGAAAUCCUCCUGCAAGUGUGCAGUGCAUUGUGGGAAUCCCCCCUCCCCCGGCAAUGGCCAGGAGCCCACUCCUGUGAGCAGCCAGUGCUGACACACGAGCAGUUAGCUGGGGUAAGGGCCUAGUCAGGCCCUUAACCUCAGCUAACUGGUGGGCUCCCUAGGUCCGGGGUGCAGGAUGCUUCAUCCCAGCCCCUGGAAAUCCCACAAUGCACUGUGCAAGUGCAUUGUGGGUAUAUUGUGGGGAUCCCUAACUGGUGAUGGCCGGGAGCCCGCUCCUGUGCCAGCACUGGCUGAUAGCAGCCGGUGC